UAAUACAUCUCUAAAAUCCUAAGAUUUAAUUUAGGGACAUAAUAAUCUGUCUAUUUUGAGCAUAAGAAAUGACUGGUGUUUUUUUUUUCAGUAUUAGCAGGUGAGCAGAGCUCAUCUUUUCCCACAGUGGUGUGGUUGUGUGAAUCCCAUUCAUGGACUGAUAUAUUUACAGCCCACCUUAUCGCCUUUGAUUCCAUUGCCUGGCUGUCCUCUUGGUCCCUUCGGCCCCUCCAGACCCCGGUCCCCCUGUCAAACAAAAGAGGUGUCAUCAGCCCAGUGUCCCUUUCUCUGCCAUUCGAAUGCAUUUACUGCAUUGCGUGUAUUGUUUCUUCGUCUGUGGGAUUUAGAAAACACCUGUUUUUCUGACUGGCAGACCUGGCUCGCCUAUGCCGUGCGGACCCGGAGGGCCUGGUCUCCCCUGAAAUCCAAUAUCUCCCUACAGACGGAUCAAAGACGUGAACAAUUCAGGAGAAAAAGAAAUCCAUUGCUGAGCAAGUGAUGUAAUGCUACAUUUCUCCAAAUCUGUUCCCAUGAAAAAAAAAAAAAACUCAUUUACAUUAUGGACAGCCUGAGGCAGGACAAUGCAAAACCACAUACUGCAGCUAUUACAACAGCAUGGCUCCGUAGUAGAAGAGUCCGGGUACUGAAUUGACCUGCCUGCAGUCCAGAUCUUUCAACAAAAAAUAACGUCAACGACCACAAACUCUUCAGCAGCUGGAAACCUAUAUCAGGCAAGAAUGGGACCAAAUUCCAACACCAAAACUCCAGAAACUCAUAACCUCGAUGCCCAGACGUCUUCAAACUGUUUUGAAAAGAAGAGGAGAUGCUACACCAUGGUAAACAUGCCCCCAU